CUUACACAGAGGGGCAGCGAGGAGGAACCAUCAGAGACAAGACAUAGACCAGGCUCCAAGACCUGCUAAGGCAUAUAUACCUCAUGCAUACAGGAGUCCAUUUGCACUGCUGCUUGG